rnacentral:rRNA from 1 species
UACGUAGGGUGCGAGCGUUGUCCGGAAUUAUUGGGCGUAAAGAGCUCGUAGGCGGCUUGUCACGUCGGAUGUGAAAGCUCGGGGCUUAACCCUGGGUCUGCAUUCGAUACGGGCAGGCUAGAGUUCGGUAGGGGAGAUCGGAAUUCCUGGUGUAGCGGUGAAAUGCGCAGAUAUCAGGAGGAACACCGGUGGCGAAGGCGGAUCUCUGGGCCGAUACUGACGCUGAGGAGCGAAAGCGUGGGGAGCGAACAGG